rnacentral:rRNA from 1 species
UACAGAGGUCCCGAGCGUUGUUCGGAUUCACUGGGCGUAAAGGGUGCGUAGGUGGCCUAAUAAGUUUGAUGUGAAAGCUCAGGGCUUAACCCUGAAAUGGCAUUGAAUACUGUUGGGCUGGAGGUUUGGAGGGGGGACUGGAAUUCUUGGUGUAGCAGUGAAAUGCGUAGAUAUCAAGAGGAACACCAGUGGCGAAGGCGAGUCCCUGGACAACACCUGACACUGAGGCACGAAAGCGUGGGGAGCAAACAGG